CGCGUAGGCGGCGCGUUGCGUCAGAUGUGAAAUCCCCGGGCUCAACCUGGGAAUGGCAUUUGAUACGGGCGUGCUGGAAUCCGUGAGAGGUUGGUGGAAUUCCCAGUGUAGAGGUGAAAUUCGUAGAUAUUGGGAAGAACACCAGUGGCGAAGGCGGCCAACUGGCACGGUAUUGACGCUGAGGCGCGAAAGCGUGGGGAGCAAACA
rnacentral:rRNA from 1 species